UUAUUUGAGAGUUUGAUCCUGGCUCAGGACGAACGCUGGCGGCGUGCCUAAUACAUGCAAGUUGAGCGAUGAAGAUUGGUGCUUGCACCAAUUUGAAGAGCAGCGAACGGGUGAGUAACGCGUGGGGAAUCUGCCUUUGAGCGGGGGACAACAUUUGGAAACGAAUGCUAAUACCGCAUAACAACUUUAAACAUAAGUUUUAAGUUUGAAAGAUGCAAUUGCAUCACUCAAAGAUGAUCCCGCGUUGUAUUAGCUAGUUGGUGAGGUAAAGGCUCACCAAGGCGAUGAUACAUAGCCGACCUGAGAGGGUGAUCGGCCACAUUGGGACUGAGACACGGCC
rnacentral:rRNA from 1 species